rnacentral:rRNA from 1 species
AUUGAACGCUGGCGGCAGGCCUAACACAUGCAAGUCGAACGAGUGGCGGACAGGUGAGUAAUGCCCGGGAACAUGCCUGAUGGAGGGGGGUAAAAACCGGAAAAGGUAGCUAUUAUUGCACACCAUCAGAUGUGCCCAGAUGGGUUUAGCUUGUUGGUGGGGUAACGGCUCACCAAGGCGACGAUCCCUAGCUGGUCUGAGAGGAUGACCGUCCACACUGGAACUGAGACACGAUCCAGACUCCGACGGGAGGGAGCAGUGGGGAAUAUUGCACAAUGGGAGCAAGCCUGAUGCAGCCAUGCCGCGUGUGUGAAGAAGGCCUUCGGGUUGUAAAGUACUUUCAGCGGGGAGGCGUUACCCGCAGAAGAAGCACCGGCUAACUCCGUGCCAGCAGCCGCGGUAAUAC